CAUGCUUCUUGGCCUUUUGGCUAAGAUCAACCUUGGUAUCUGUUCUUAAAAUACCUGCCAUCAAUACUUUUACAGAAGUGAUAAUGAAUGUUUUUACUGUUACAUGUUUUGCUACAGAUUAAAAUAUAAAAUAUGAAUAUGUUUAUGUCGGUAUCACCAGCAGAUAGUGAACUUCGCCAAGA
rfam:Cavia porcellus supercont2_50 genomic scaffold, whole genome shotgun sequence.